rnacentral:tRNA from 1 species
AUGGAUGUAGCUCAGCUGUAGAGCACAUGCUUUAUAAGCAUGAGGUCCUGGGUUCAAUCCUUGGCACCAUA